rnacentral:lncRNA from 1 species
UCCAGAUAUCAUAUUACACAACACAAAAAUGCGAACAAUAUUAAUAAUACAUAACUUCCAAAACGAAAUUCGUUAAUAUAGCUUUCCUUGGCCUUGGGCACGUAACAUCAGUUGGUGGCACGGCGAAAGGUCAAAUGGCUCCCCGGUGACUUUACUCCGGUUGCUACCACCAUGUUUGUGGCGGAGGAAGGUGGAGAAGAAGUAGACAAAAGCUGUAUAUCCGAAGUUUGGAACCGUCCCGAGUCGCCGGGAAGUCUUACGUAGGAAGCAGAAGGCGAUUCAUUUAGCCAUGCCCCCUUCUCUCCUUGUCCUCCAUUUUUGUACUGCAUUAUAGCUUUGUACACAUAUGGAAUCAGACCCUCCAUACCAUAUAUUUUGUAUGUUCAACUCUGCGCGUG